rnacentral:rRNA from 1 species
GUCUACGGCCAUGCUACAAGCCCAAUGUCUGAUCUUGGAAGCUAAGCAGGGUCGGGCCUGGUUAGUACUUAGAUGGGAGACCACCUAGGAAGACCAGGUGCUGCAGGCA